GUGGGGAAUUUUGGACAAUGGGCGCAAGCCUGAUCCAGCAAUGCCGCGUGCAGGAAGAAGGCCUUCGGGUUGUAAACUGCUUUUGUACGGAACGAAACGGUCCGGGUUAAUACCCUGGGCUAAUGACGGUACCGUAAGAAUAAGCACCGGCUAACUACGUGCCAGCAGCCGCGGUAAUACGUAGGGUGCGAGCGUUAAUCGGAAUUACUGGGCGUAAAGCGUGCGCAGGCGGUGCUGUAAGACAGGCGUGAAAUCCCCGGGCUCAACCUGGGAAUUGCGCUUGUGACUGCAGUGCUGGAGUACGGCAGAGGGGGAUGGAAUUCCGCGUGUAGCAGUGAAAUGCGUAGAUAUGCGGAGGAACACCGAUGGCGAAGGCAGUCCCCUGGGCCUGUACUGACGCUCAUGCACGAAAGCGUGGGGAGCAAACAGGAUUAGAUACCCGAGUAGUCC
rnacentral:rRNA from 1 species